ensembl:lncRNA
CUGCAGUCCAUGGGGUCACAAAGAGUCUGACACAACUGAGUGACUGAACAACAGGUGGAAAGUCUACAGGGAACACGGUGCCACGAUGGUGUGCAGAGUGCGUCUGACUUAACACAGGUGCCUGCAUUCUGCUCCAGCACCGGCGCCUACAUAUCAGGCACCCGUGACGGUGCCAAGAGUCUCUCCAGCUCUCAGUGUUUCCUCUGUCAGCUGUGCUGGGCUGGUUGGGUUGUUACACGAUCUCUUGUGUUCCUAACAAAGGGACUCUAGAAUCUACUCCAACAAAACAUGCACACCCCUCUGAGACACACACACCGAGGCUGUAGAACCAGGGUAGGAUGGAUUGUGCAAGGUGGUGGCGUGAAGGGCGACGGUUCUGGACACAAACUCACAUCCCAGCAGGAGUGUGGAAGUGGCAGGGAGGAAGUCAUGGACGUGCCACCAGCCAGCACCGCUCCUGGGCAGCGAUGUAGCACAGGCUGGUUACCUUAAGCCAUCACAGCUCGGUUUCCACUCCUGUAACACACGACUGUCACGCAGAGCCCACGUGAGGAUAAAGUGCUCUAAAAACAUCAGUUGGUAAUGAGAAGUGUAGUGUUCUACAGAAUACCGAGGUUUGUGCAUCAGGAAUUGAUUCUUUCUAAAAUGGAGGACUGCUAUUGUCUUAAGACUUGGAGUAAAAUAAACUGAUCCAGGUAUAAGCCUUAGACAAUGGGUAUCAGAUUGCCUAAUGACGAAACAAUAGAUCAUCCUUCAUUAGUGUAAACUCACAGUCCAUAGGGUUGGACAUGACUGAAGCGAUUUAGUACGCACAUCACCUUAAACUCCCAAUAAACACCCAAAUUCUACUGAUAUUUUGGUUAACAUAGUUCUUUUCAUGACAAAAAAAAGCACAAGAACAUAAGUGAUAAACGGCCAUCAGUUCUCCCUUGUCUCCCUAGCCAUUUCCCCUUUCAUGAAUUCUUCUGUUCAAUAAAGCAAUCCACCACAUGUACACAGAAGCAUGAUUCUGUUCAAUCUUUAAAAGUUAUUCUCAUAUAAUGGAAUUUCUAGAUUAGGUAUCUUAUGUUUGAUUACAUGAUCUUUUUUCUUGGUUAAGUAAAUAUGGUCAGCAUCCAAGAAGACUGGACAGAAGUAUCUGCCUUCAACAUCCAGUAUUACCCAUGCAGUACAGCGUGUCCUUGCUGAAUGCUAGUAAGUCACAUAUUUAGCUGCAGCUGGGGGUGGAAUUGCAGGGAAAAGUAUUAUNNNNNNNNNNNNNNNNNNNNNNNNNNNNNNNNNNNNNNNNNNNNNNNNNNNNNNNNNNNNNNNNNNNNNNNNNNNNNNNNNNNNNNNNNNNNNNNNNNNAAGUAUUAUAUAAUUAGACUAUAAUUAUUCUGGCAUUGUAUAACACAGAGCCUUAUUUCCCCUAUCAACAGCAAGUCACAGAGUUGCCUGUCAGCCCCUGGGGUGCAGGUAGAUGGUUUAGAUGUCCUGAAGUACCCUAAGGAGCUGGAGAGACCAUGGAGGGUCACUGUCUCUCCCAUCCACUAGGCCUAGGGAGAAUCAAACCACACACCCCACCGCUACUUCUCCAAAAUACAAGAAGGGAGCUGAAGAUAGUUGAGGUACAACCAGCCAAACAGCAUCAGAAGGACCUGACCACUUAGUCCUUCCCCCUCUGUCUUCUCUUGCAGAGAACUUGCCUCCCUUCCCUCCUGCAGGGGCUGCUCCCAAGCAGGUUGCUUGUGGCUGGGAAGCGAGGCUUCCUAUCAGCCAAGCUGAAGCUGGUGCAGAAGAUGAGGGAGUUAGGGUUCUGAGUAAACCCACCUUCCUGGGACUGCAGCUGCUGGGCUAGGCCCAUUCACCAGCAUGAUGCAGAUUUGGACUAAGAACUCAAGGCAUUUCACCACGACCUUUACAAUGAGCCCAACUCUGCAAACAGGCUCCAGGCACUGAUGGGUGAGAAGUUAAGGGACCUGCACAGUGCUAGGUGCUUAGAAUCUUGCCGAGGUCUGAAUCUGUGAGUCCUUGAGAAGUUCUCAGUCCCCUGGCUCUGAGCAGAUUUCAUCAGCACGAUAACCUAAAGCCCUUUCCUUUUUAGCUCCAGUGCUGCCUGCGGAUGUUUAUUUCAAAUUGCCAGACCUGCCUUUGCCCCACUCCCCCUUGACGAGGUACCUUCUGACCUCUGACCUGUGCCAUUGCCGAGGUCCAGCCCCGGUGGAUCCAGGGAAUUCGAAGCGGGGACGGCGUUGGCG